UACGGAAGGCAGCAGUGGGGAAUAUUGCACAAUGGGCGAAAGCCUGAUGCAGCUAUGCCGCGUGUAUGAAGAAGGCCUUAGGGUUGUAAAGCUCUUUUAGUGAGAAAGAUAAUGACGGUACUCACAGAAGAAGUCCUGGCUAACUCCGUGCCAGCAGCCGCGGUAAUACGGAGAGGGCUAGCGUUAUUCGGAAUUAUUGGGCGUAAAGAGCGCGUAGGCUGAUUAGUAAGUUAAAAGUGAAAUCCCAAAGCUUAACUUUGGAAUUGCUUUUUAAAACUGCUAGUCUAGAGAUUUGAAAGAGGAUAGAGGAAUUCCUAGUGUAGAGGUGAAAUUCGUAAAUAUUAGGAGGAACACCAGUGGCGAAGGCGUCUAUCUGGUUCAAAUCUGACGCUGAGGGCGCGAAGGCGUGGGGAGCAAACAGGGAUUAGAUACC
rnacentral:rRNA from 1 species